rnacentral:tRNA from 1 species
GCGUUUUUAGUUUAAUGGAUAAAACAUCAAUCUUCUAAAUUGAAUAUUGUAGGUUCAAAUCCUUCAAGGCGCA